UUAUAUAUAUGCUUGUGUAAUGCAGGAGCUGCUACUAUGAUAUUAUAUUGUUUCAGUCUUAUUUAUUGAUUGUUGGAGAUAUGGAUGGAUGGUUAGGAUUAUAAGUUAUUGUUAAAGUUUUAAUCUAGGAAUAGGAAUAUAGGAUUAAAGCUUUAUUUGUAACUUAGCAGCUAUCAUUUUUUUCACAUCUCCUCAAUGAAAUUUUCAUUCGGCUAAAUACUUACAAGUUGAACACUAGUAGCUAAAACUUAAAUUGCAGCACUCGAACUCUGUUGAUAUAUUAGAAAUUGUUUCCUUUUUUAUUGCCAUUCUUUGUUGCUUGUUGUCUUAUUAUGUCUUUUUUUUCUUCACUUUUUCACAGCAUAAGCCCAAAUCAUGCGAGUUUCAAACUCACAAAGGUGAUAGAAUCAAAGUGCACUAUCGGUUGCUACUGUUCCUGAUGGCUUGAAGGCAUGGGAGAUGCUGAAAGGAAGACCACAUAAUGUAGAUCUCAUUUUGACAGAAGUGGAUUUGCCAUCUAUAUAAGGAUUUGCUCUUCUUACACUAAUUAUGGAGCAUGAUAUUUGUAAAAGCAUCCCUGUUAUAAGUAUGAUAUGAAAGAUUCUUUAAUAUUUUCUAAA